AUACGCUAGGCUGGAAAUGUGCAGUAGAAUGUGAGGGAGGAGGAGGUGGAGCGAAGCUGGGACCCAUUAGGACGGAAGAGGCGACGGAGGCGGGUCGUGAUGAACAAAUCCAACAGCUGGAGCAACGUGCAUGGGAUGUCGUUACCAUGGAGACGAAGGGACUGAUUCCUGAAAACUUCGUGUACGUUUGACUAUACUCUACUUAAAGCAAAACAGCCGACUGAGUAUUCCAAGUUACCUAGCAACCACUGCCAUGGAGCGGGAUGAUGGAGCUGAGCUGAUCCUGGAGUUACCAGAAAUUCAGGUGCACCGGUCCAUUGGAUCAGGUUCUGGAGACGGCGCUGGCCGCUCAGUAAUCAGCAGCGGAGACAUUUGACCCCUUCACGCCUCCAGAGGAGGAACGACGCUCAAACAGUUCAUACUGUACCAGCAUAGUGACUCUACUGAGAUUUGUUUUUGGUUAUUUAAUAAUUCACUGCAAAACAUCACUGAGAAAAACGAAACUCCGGCCCAAAGAGGAAAAGACUCGUCUGUAUGUUUGGACUUUCUGAUGGUUCAGGCUACACAGAGGAGAUAAUCUGAGCUGCUCUGGAAACACAACCGGUGUCACUUUUUACAAACGGUGGUUCAGCUGUGCUCCGAUAGCGGCUGACAACCCGCGAGUUUCACCACCAUGGUCUAAAUCUUGGAGGCUCCAGGUCCAGUAGAGUGAAUUUACCAGUGAGGCUGCUGAAAUACAGCAAGAUGCAGUGGAGACGCGCUUCUUUCUUUCCAGAACAACCAGACCACUGAGAGUCUUAUAGGUUCAAACUGCAUGAUGUGUGAAGCUGAGGAAGCGUUUGAAGAACAGCUGCAGCACAGGUCACGCUGUGACACGUGAGAGAAUGGACGAGUUCUGCUCUUUACAAACGACAGCUACAAACAGCGAGCUCUGUGAAAUCUGCUUCUCUACGAGGUUUAGUGACCUGGAAGCUUUGUAGGAAUCCAACGGGCUGCGUCUGACAGCUUCAUGGGACUUCUGUGAGACAACGGGUGAUUUGUAUUCAGCUGCAGCGUCCAGACUCAUGCACCUCCUCUGAGACAACGGCAAGCACCAUUCAUGUAAACACACACACGCACGCACGCACGCACGCACGCACGCACACACACACACACACACACACAGAAAGCUCAUGCUCUCAUACGAUCCAGACUAACACAGACGUUGGUCUCUUCAUUUAGACCAGACGCUCAUUGACCAAAUUAAUCCCUCAAACACUCCAAACAAAACUCCAAACACACACACACGCACACGCCCAUACUGUCAGCAUUGGUCUCAUUUAUAAUGAAAGCCAGCAUGCACACAACGACAGAGUUUAGUGGUCCCAACAGCCUGCAGACAUUUGGAAAUCAAUCUUAAACACACAACAACACACAACUCACUGGCCCUGAGCAAUGCAUUUCACUGUGCCUGUGUAGCUCACACACACACACACACACACACACACACACACACACACACACACACACACACACACACACACACACACACACACACACACACACACAGCACAGAUACAGUACCACACGUGCAGUGAUCAGAAGCCGCAGAAGCUGAACUUCACGCUGACGCUGAUAACAUGUUCAUACCAGAGCAAACAGAAACAGCGAGGGAACACACACACUGUGAGAGCAGACGUGGGUAAAUAGGAACCAGGGAACAACAAAGACAUUAUUGCUCUGUUGACCCAACAAUGAUUUUAUCCGAUGCUGUAGUUGCUGCAGGUUAAAUCUUGCGAUGAGACGAUCUGUGAAUGAAGAUUUUCUUAGUUCUAACAACAAAAGCAGCAUUUAAAGCAUUAAAUAUUAAAGUCAAACAUUUAUCUCUGCACUAAUAAAUGUUUUCAUGCAUAUUUUGUGUAAAUGUUGUGUUGUUUGUUUACUGGUAACGUCUUGGUGAGUUUUAAACGCCCCUUUAUGAAAACUGAACCCUUUACGAGUACAUUUCUUCCUGCAGCUUCUAUGUAUGUUCUCCACACAGCAGGUUAUUAGAUCAGUAAAUUAAAUUAAAAAAUUAUUAAAAAAAAAAAAAAAAAAAAAAAA